AAUGGGACUGGAGAAUUCCUACCCCCAUUCUGAAUAUCUUUGGGUAUGAAACGAAUGACCCAGUCGCUCAUCGUAUUCACCUCUAUUUAUAGACUUUAGCAUAAUUCAAGUCAUACGAUUGAUAAGCCUCUCCCUUCACAAAGCAUCAUGCAAUAAGCAAAGACUACAUCAACAACUUAUCAAUCAUGAGUAAAGUUGUAUGACACGUGCCUUAAG
rnacentral:lncRNA from 1 species